UUGGUUUAGUUUCAUAAUGUUGUUUGACAAAGCAUGUUUUUAGGAUGAGUAAACAGUACCUUGCCAAUGUUGGCCACUAGAUCAAUAGAAAGGUUGGAGGAAGGGACACAGUUCUUGUCGAUGCAUUGUCAAGGCGCAUUCCUCUUGUUAGCGACCGACCAACUAUAAUAUUUGGUGCUAACGUAA